GUAGGAGGGAGCCACACACCCAGAGGAUCAGCCAGAACUUCUGAUCGAGGGCACCCAGCAAGUUAAUGGUGGGAAUCCCCUGAACAAAGUCCUGGAUCCCAGGAUUGCAAACAGGACUGAAGUUCAAGAUGGAGGUGGCUCCAGGUCUCCCUGGGUUUCCAGACCCAAGACAGGAAAUCAAGACUGCUUAGAGAUUGGCGAACCUAGGUCACCUGACUCCAUCUCCGGCGCUCUUUCUAUGGCCUUCACUCCUACCUGGCAUUUGGCAGAUAAGAUCUUGUUUCUGAUCACUUUAUGUGGUGAAGUUGCCUUUCUCCAGUUGCAGCAUCAGUUCCUUAAAGGCAAAAGAUUCCCCAGCGUGCCCGGUUAACAGCAUUAGGCCCUAAUAACCCAGUAAAUGUUAAUACUUCUUUUGACUGUCACGUCACUAGCUUAUCCACAUUUAUUCAUGGCCCCAAAUUAUUAACUUGUGAAAACUCUCCCCAAAUGUCCUAAUCAAAAGCAACUCUCAUUCCCUGAGAUUUUGUUUACAGUCAGAGAAAGGAGUAAAUUCUGUUGGGUGGGCCUGUGGAUUAUUUUGAAAUUUUGAAAAUUUGAAAAUCAGACUCUAGGAGGCAGAGUUAGAGGUGGGGAACCGAGAUGGGUUUGCCUCUGGAAUUACAACCAAAUCUGACUGGGUACUGACAA